rnacentral:rRNA from 1 species
CUGGCGGCUGCCUACACAUGCAAGUCGAACGAGGCCUUUCGGGGCCUAGUGGCGCACGGAGUGCGUAACGCGUGGGAAUCUGCCCUUAGGUUCGGAAUAACCAUUGGAAACGAUGGCUAAUACCGGAUGAUGACGUAAGUCCAAAGAUUUAUCGCCUGAGGAUAAGCCCGCGUAGGAUUAGCUAGUUGGUGUGGUAAAGGCGCACCAAGGCGACGAUCCUUAGCUGGUCUGAGAGGAUGAUCAGCCACACUGGGACUGAGACACGGCCCAGACUCCUACGGGAGGCAGCAGUGGGGAAUAUUGGACAAUGGGCGAAAGCCUGAUCCAGCAAUGCCGCGUGAGUGAUGAAGGCCUUAGGGUUGUAAAGCUCUUUUACCCGGGAUGAUAAUGACAGUACCGGGAGAAUAAGCUCCGGCUAACUCCGUGCCAGCAGCCGCGGUAAU